rnacentral:tRNA from 1 species
GCCUGAAGAACCAGCAAAUACACUGCUCCUGAAAAUCGCAGUGUCGGCGGUUCGACUCCGUCCCUGGGCACCA